UACAGAGGUCUCAAGCGUUGUUCGGAUUCAUUGGGCGUAAAGGGUGCGUAGGUGGUGCUGUAAGUCAGGUGUGAAAUCUCGGGGCUCAACCCCGAAACUGCACUUGAUACUGCGGUGCUCGAGGACUGGAGAGGAGAUCGGAAUUCAUGGUGUAGCAGUGAAAUGCGUAGAUAUCAUGAGGAAGACCAGUGGCGAAGGCGGAUCUCUGGGCCUGUACUGACGCUGAGGAGCGAAAGCGUGGGGAGCGAACAGG
rnacentral:rRNA from 1 species